UUUUUUUUUUUUUGAUGUGUUUUUUGGAGAAGAUAAGUGUCAUGUCUUGCUCCUCUGCCAUCUUGAUCCUUCCCCUCACAUGUUCUCUUGUUUUAAUUGGUUCCUCCUUCCAACUUCAUGAUGUUUUGUUGAGUCUGUCAUUCAUUGUAAUCACCAUGGCUAAGAUACUCAUGGUCAGACAUAAUAUCAGUGUUCCAUCUGAAUCUUCAAGAUAUUUUUUUUAUAAAAAGAGUUAAAUGAGAAAGGGCCUGUCAGGUAUUCUAUCUUAUUGCUUUCCAUCAGGUUUAAGUCUGUCAGUGAUAAUCCCUCCCUUCCUUGAAAUUGGUCCUAACCAGAUUUGCCAAUGAUCAUUCUUUUCCUUCAUUUACAGCAUCAGCUGUAGUAGAAGGAACUAGCCCUGAGCUACCACAGUAUUUAGAUGUUCUCUUAAAAUUGGUUUAUCUAUUAUCCCAAACAUACCCACCUUUUGCCAUCCAGUCCCGUGCAUCAAAUGAAGUUUAAGUUGCCUAGAGAAGUUUCAUGCAAAUACAGCAGCAAACUGAGUAGACAAUAAUUCCUACUUUAUAUGCUACAGAUCCUCUACAUUUGAUCUGAUCCCUUUCUUAAAGCUGCAGCAGCAGAAACAAAGAUACCAAGGCACAUACAAGGCUAAGUACAUUGAGAGACAUUUAAACACAUAAAAAUCCCCUAUGCCAUUUUAUAAUUAUAGAUAUUUAUAAUUAAUUUGUAUUGAUGUAUUCAAAUAAGUAUUCUCAUUUAUUAAUGCUCUAAUUUGCCAUUUUAAAUUAAAAAACUUAAAGGCCUGAAGUAUUAUUGGAGAUCCUAUUUAUUGGGACUAUAUAGUCAGUCAACUAUACAAUAGAAUCAGUGAUAACAGAAAUUUUCACUGCAUCUCAUAAACAUAACUACUUUAUGCCACUAUUUUUCCCCUCUUAGCUUAACUCAAUUUGAAUUAAGAUAUUGAGAGAAGCAUCUUCUGCAAGAAACAUUGUUUAAAUCUAAAGGCAAAAACAUGAUAUCAGUAUUACAAAAUAAUACCAUCUUACUGUCAUAUUUUCCAUGAUAGAAAGUCAAAUUCCUUUCCAGGAAUGAGGAUGUAUCCAGGGUGAGGAAAGUAAUUAAGCAAAGAACUAAGAAAUAUAAGCAUUUUCUUACAUUCCUCUUGCAUAUUUUCUAUAUAAAUUGGCAUAAAGUCCCUUCCAGACCACUUUCCAUUAUGUGUCAUCAUAUUUAGAAGUUCUAGAAGAGUAGGACCACAUCAUACUGAUUAGCUCUGAAUGGUACCUAAGCAUCCAUAAAAUUCAUUAAUAAAUCUUUUGAAGACAAUUAAUGUAGAGUCUCUGUCAUUUUAUUUUUGGUCUAUAAAUAUUUGUUCUGUUUUCUUACAGCUGACAAAGAAUUCUUUUGUACAUUAUCUCAUUUGAUUGUCACAAUUAUUUGGUACUGUAGAAGGGAAAAUAGAACCCUUAUUUUACAGAUGGUUAAUCUGAAGUUAGAAGAGAUUGUUGUGUUCAGGGCAGGGGGUAGUAGACUCCUUAUUAAAUUGGAAUAUUUGAGGUAUUAUGAGCAUGGGAAAUGUCAGAAAAGAUAUAUAAGUACAUUCCAAGAUUUAAAACUGUGAAAUUAUUUAAUUUUAUAGUUGUUGCCUUAAAUACACUAGACAAUAGAAUUAAAAUACAUUUUCAGUGUAUAGUAGCUGUCAACACAGAGUGAAUCAUGUGCGUUGUUUAUAUACUAAUUGUCUAAAAAUAUUAUUGGUUAAUAGAACAUGGCCAAGAAAAAAGAGCAUUAAGUGAAAUAUAUUUCUGACACUUGAGGAAGAUUCUAAAAUGUCUUGUGGGAGAAAAAUCAUAAAAAUUUAAGCUCAUUUGUAAACAUGACCUCUUCUUUCAGUUCUUGUACCUAAUGGGGUAGUAGUGAAUAUUUAACAAACAGCUCUCUGGGGAAAAAAUCAAAAGGCCUGACUUGAGCAUUUGCCAAUUUAUGUGGUGUAAAUACUUGCACCACAGCUGAUCUCAAGCUACUAAAAUUUUAAUAACUGGCUUAUAAAACUCCUAGAAUUUCUAUGAUUGGUUUUCAUAGUUUAUGCAAGGUGGCUCUGGCAUACCAUUGUGUGGAGCUGCAUAACAUGUCUCAGCAUCUCCACUCAUGUGUCUGAUAAUCAUCUAAAACCUCACAUGCUCUCUUUUUCCUGUGGUCCUCUUUAUCUCCAUUAGCAACAACUCCAUCCUUCUCACUGUUCAUACCAAUAUCCUGGGUGCAAUCCCUGACUAUUUUUCUCACAUGCCUUUUUAAGUCUGUCAGAAUAUCUGGUAGGCACUACCUUUAGAAUAUAUCCAGAUUCCAGGGUUCCUGUUUGUGGCUCAAUGAGUUAAGAACCCAACCUAGUGUCCAUGAAGAUGCAGCUUUAAUUUCUGGAUCACUCAGUGGGUUAAGGUCUGGUGUGGCCACAUGCUGCAGCAUAGUUUGCAGAUGUGGCUUGGAUCUGUCAUCGCUAUGGCUGUGGUGUAGCUGCAGUUCCAACUUGAACCCUAGCCUUGGAACUUCCAUUUGCUGCAGGUGCAACUAUAAAAAGGUAAAAGAAAAAAAAAGUUCCAAACACUCUUGACAAUGCCCAUUGCUCAGUCCUGGAUCCUAGUCAUUAUCCUCUUUUUCCUGAUUUAUCGCAUUAGCCUCCUGUACUUGUCACGGUAAAGCUUUCUAGGUGCUGUAACAUCCCUAACUCCCUAUGGCCUAGUGUAAUCAAACUUAUUUCUUACUCACCUUAUUGUUUGAGUAACUCUCCUCUAAGUUACUCCUUGGGCAUCUAUGCUGCUUCCUUCAUGUCACUACUAUUCAAGAGUUCUUAGAGUUCCUGGUAUCUCAGUGGGUUAAGUAUUCAGUGUUGUCUUUACUGUGGCAUUGGUUUAAUCUCUGGUCCAGGAACUUCUACAUACUGUGGGCAUGGCAAAAAAGAAGAGUUCUUAGCUUCCAGCCCCACAGAAAGUAGGAAAGGAAAGCAAAUAAAAGCAUGGCACCUUGCAGGAACCAGGCCUGUAUAUCUCUUCCACUCACAUUCUUCUUUUUUUUUUUUUUUUUUUUUGCUGCACCCUUGGAAUAUGGAAGUUUCAGGGCAAGUGAUUAAACCUGUGAAUCUGUGGCAAGAGACCGACCCAAGCCAUAGCAGCGAUGACACCAGAUUCUUAACUCAGCGAGCCACAAGGAAACUCCCCUACUGUCCAGAACUAGGCAGGUGGCACUGCCCAGAUACAAAGGGGCUGGAAAAAGUAGUCUUCCUGUGCACUAGGAAGAAACUGAAGCUGUUUGAGUCAACAGGUAACAUUGUCUGCAUCAUGUCUUCUCUGCUCCUACCCAUCCUUGACUUCUCUAGUUUAUCCUCAACACAGCAGGCAUUAAACAAUCAAACUAUAAGCUAGAUUAUUCCUCCCUCUGCUUAAAAAUCACCCAGUGGCUUAUUUUAUAACUCAUGAAAGGUGAAUGAGAAAGUACUAGUUUCCUAGGGCUGACAUAAAAGAUUACCACAAACUGUAUGACUUACAAUAGAAGUUUAUUUUAUCACCAAACUUAUUGUGGAGCCAGAAAUACAAAACCAAAGUGUUGGCAGGGCAAUGCUUCUUCUGAAGACUGAAGGGUAGGGAGGAUCCUUCUUUUCCACUUCCUACCUCCUGUUUGUUGCUGCGGAUCCUUGGCUUCUUUGGCUUGUAACUCCGUUUUUCUAAAACCUACCUCUGUCUUCACAUGCUGUUCUCCUCUGUAUGUGUGUCUGUGUUCCCACAUGCCUUUCUUAUAAGGACAGCACUUACUGGAUUUAGAGUCCUCCCUAAUCCAAUAUGACCUUGUCUUCACUAAUUGCAUUUGAGGUUUCCUAUUUCUAAAUGAGGAAAUAAGUCACAUUCUGAUAUUGUAGGUAGAAAUGAAACUUGGAGGGACACGCUUCAAUCUAAGAUAGGCAGUUCAUAUUCUUACUCAAAAUUCUUCAUCUCCUCCCCACCAAGUCUCUUUUCACCUCUCAUGCAUCUUCUAGAAUGUCCAUAUCAUUCUAGAAACUUCCAGUGUUCUCAAGAGGUGAAACAGGAAGCAUAGGCAUCAGUCUUCUAAUCUCAAGGUUUUUCUAUUUGUGGAGUGAAAAAUUAGAACCAAAACCCUGAGAUCCUUUCCAACUAGGCAAGUGUAAAAUGAUCUUUUCUUCACUGCAAAUAUCUGUGAGUAUUCAGAGGGACACUAAUUCGAGUAGUGUUGAUCUCAUGUGAAAGGAACAAGAUUGCAAAUACCAAGUAAGCAUUUUCAAUAUGUUGAUAAAUGUGUGAAACUCCUAUGGCAGGUGCAAGAGAUAGUGCCAAUUAAGAAUUAGCUGCCAUCCACAUUUAUAGUUUGUGUUGUUGACUCCAGCAGUUUGCUAUUGCCUAUUAAAGCAGGAGUUGACAGGUAAAUUUCCUCUGCUGGAUUCUUCUAUAGGUCAGAAAACAGUCCUGCACAGCUUUUGAAAUCUAUCCAAACUGUUUAAUGAGUCCUUCCUUGGCUGUAGAUGCUGUAAUUCAACCCUUCUGUUGGGUUAAAAACUUGUUAAAAGUCUAACUAUGACUUUCAGUGGUUGUUCAGGAAUCAUAGAAAUUCACACUUUUCACUGAAAGAGAUGGGAAAGUUCACCUGGUCAUUCUUUUAUUUCUUUUAUGACUGCAGCAUAUGGACAUUCCCUGGGCUAGGGGUCGAAUCAGAGCUGCAGCUGCAGGCCUACAUCACAGCCACAGCAAUGCCAGAUCUGAGCCACAUCUGUGACCUAUGCUGAAGCUUAUGGCAAUGCUGGAUUUAACCCAUGAAGCAAGGCCAGGGAUCAAACCUGCAUCCUCAUGGAUACUAUUUUGGGUUCUUAAACUAUGAGCCACAACAGGAACUCCACACCUGAUCGAUCUUGUCACAUUUAAAACUUGUGUCCCUGCUACAUCCCUGUCAGUGGGUCACCCAUGAUGCUCUGAGAAGCUCAUUUCUCCAAGAAUGGCUCUGACUCUCAGAAAUUUCUUUCUGUUAAUUAUUAGAAUCUGUGAUUUGGUCAUGUCAAUUACAGAGUCAUUUUUAGGUAUUUGAGCAGAAUCUUGACCUCUUGAUCCAGAUCCCAAGAUAGAUGCCAUUUGUACAUCCCCCUCACUUAGAUGCACUGGGAUUCCAGUUGGAGAGAGGGAUUUUCCCUGCAGGGUAGCCCCACACUCAGGCGUCUACAGGGAUCUCACCAGCCUGGUAAUGCAACACUUACCCUCCACCAAACGGUGGCCUCAAACCUGCCAAGUGAGGAGCACCUUUUCACCAAAAGGCUGCAGACUCAUUUAGAGAAGUGAUUAUCUCACUUGAAAGUGUAUGUGAAUUACCACCGAUCUUGGUAAAGUGAAAAUUCUUAUCCUGUAGAUAGAGCCUGAUGUUCUUCAUAUCUUAUAAGUUCUCGUGCAUUGGUAAUAAACCGUCAUAAGAAUGUAUAGAUUGUAUUAGGGUUUUUGUUCUAAACUAAAGUUGAAAUUCUGCAUUUCCGUGCCAUUAACAGUUAUGACUAGAAAAAAAAAAACAGAUUAUGACAAAUUUGGCAUCUUAAAAAUACAGACAUUGGUUCUUUUUACAGUUCUGGAGGCCAGAAGCCUGGUAUCAUUGUCAGUGGACUGAAAUGUAGGUGUCAACAGGAAGAUGCUCUCUCCAGAGGUUCUAGAGAAGGAUUUAUUUUUGCCUCUUCCAGCUUAUGCUGGCUGCCAGUAUUCCCUGCCUCAUGGUUGCCUCACUCCAAUCUCUGCCUUUGUAGCCACUUUGCCCUUUCGUUUUGUCUGAAAUCUCCUCUGCCUCAUUUUUAUAAGGAUAUCUAGGAUUGCACUUAGAAACUACCUAGAUUAUCCAGAAUAACCUCCUCAUGUCAAGGUCCUUAACAUAAUCACAGGACUUUCCACUGAGGUGCAAUGAGUUAAGACUCUGACUGCAGUGGCUUGGGCUGCUGCAGAGGUACGAGUUCAAUCCCCAGCCCAUGCAGUGGGUUAAAUGUUCUGGCACUGCCGCAUCGGCAAUGUAGGUCACAGCUGCAUCUUGAAUUCAGUCCCUCUCCCAGAACUUCCAUAUCCUGUGGGUGCAGCCAUUUAAAAAAAA
rnacentral:lncRNA from 1 species